rnacentral:rRNA from 1 species
AUUGAACGCUGGCGGCAGGCUUAACACAUGCAAGUCGAACGAGUGGCGGACGGGUGAGUAAUGUAUGGGGAUCUGCCUGAUGGAGGGGGAUAACUACUGGAAACGGUAGCUAAUACCGCAUACCAUCAGAUGAACCCAUAUGGGAUUAGCUUGUAGGUGAGGUAACGGCUCACCUAGGCGACGAUCCCUAGCUGGUCUGAGAGGAUGAUCAGCCACAUUGGGACUGAGACAAGGCCAAGACUUCUACUGGAGGCAGCAGGGGGGAAUAUUGACAAAUGGGCGUAAGUCUGAUGCAGCCAUGCCGCUGGUAUGAAGAAGGCUUUCGGGUUGUAAAGUAAUUUCAGUGAGGAGGCGUUACCGACAGAAGAAGCACCGGCUAACUCCGUGCCAGCAGCCGCGGUAAUUC